rnacentral:misc_RNA from 1 species
GUCGUGACUUAUGAAUAUCACAUCCUGUAUAGCCCCAGCUAUGGUGUGCCAGUUCUGUACUUCAAUGCCCACACACAAGGUGGAAAACUUCUAGCCUUAGAGGAAGUCUGGAAGAGGGUGCCAGAUGUAUAUAAAGAGAGAUUGUCUGAAGAAAGAUGGACAUUUAUUACACAACAAGAACACCCUUUACUUGGCCGUCCAUUCUAUUACCUACAUCCAUGUCAUACAGCUGACCUGAUGAAAAACUCUCCAGUCCUAACAGAUAAAAGACAUUACAUUGUUUCCUGGCUGAGUGCUGUUGGUCCUGUGGUUGGGUUGAAACUUCCUCUGGAGUAUGGAAAACUUUGUGUCAGCUGACAGCCAUUUUUGGGGGUCCAAUAUUGGAGCCAUUCCAUUUACAGAAACAAAAAUGUUGUUUGUAUAUGAAGUGUUACAAACCAAAUGUGUAUAAAAAUGUGCAAUAUG